AGUGAACGCUGGCGGUAGGCCUAACACAUGCAAGUCGAACGGCAGCACAGUAAGAGCUUGCUCUUACGGGUGGCGAGUGGCGGACGGGUGAGGAAUACAUCGGAAUCUACUUUUUCGUGGGGGAUAACGUAGGGAAACUUACGCUAAUACCGCAUACGACCUACGGGUGAAAGCAGGGGAUCUUCGGACCUUGCGCGAUUGAAUGAGCCGAUGUCGGAUUAGCUAGUUGGCGGGGUAAAGGCCCACCAAGGCGACGAUCCGUAGCUGGUCUGAGAGGAUGAUAGGCCACACUGGAGCUGAGACACGGUCCAGACUACUACGGGAGGCAGCAGUGGGGAAUAUUGGACAAUGGGCGCAAGCCUGAUCCAGCCAUACCGAGUGGGUGAAGAAGGCCUUCGGGUUGUAAAGCCCUUUUGUUGGGAAAGAAAAGCAGCAGGUUAAUACCCCGCUGUUCUGACGGUACCCAAAGAAUAAGCACCGGCUAACUUCGUG
rnacentral:rRNA from 1 species